rnacentral:rRNA from 1 species
CCUACGGGAGGCAGCAGUGAGGAAUAUUGGUCAAUGGUCGAGAGACUGAACCAGCCAAGCCGCGUGAGGGAGGAAGGUACAGAGUAUCGUAAACCUCUUUUGUCAGGGAACAAAGACUGGGACGCGUCCCCGGAUGAGUGUACCUGAAGAAAAAGCAUCGGCUAACUCCGUGCCAGCAGCCGCGGUAAGACGGAGGAUGCGAGCGUUAUCCGGAUUUAUUGGGUUUAAAGGGUGCGGAGUCGGGUUGUUAAGUCAGCGGUGAAAGCCUGGGGCUCAACCCCCGCCCCGCAGUUGAUACUGGCAGUCUUGAGUAGGAGAGAGGUAUGCGGAAUUCGCGGUGUAGCGGUGAAAUGCAUAGAUAUCGCGAAGAACUCCGAUUGCGAAGGCAGCAUGCCGGAUCCACACUGACGCUGAGGCACGAAAGCGUGGGUAUCGAACAGGAUUAGAUACCCCGGUAGUC